GACGAACGCUGGCGGCGUGCCUAAUACAUGCAAGUUGAGCGCUGAAGGUUGGUACUUGUACCAACUGGAUGAGCAGCGAACGGGUGAGUAACGCGUGGGGAAUCUGCCUUUGAGCGGGGGACAACAUUUGGAAACGAAUGCUAAUACCGCAUAAAAACUUUAAACACAAGUUUUAAGUUUGAAGGAUGCAAUUGCAUCACUCAAAGAUGAUCCCGCGUUGUAUUAGCUAGUUGGUGAGGUAAAGGCUCACCAAGGCGAUGAUACAUAGCCGACCUGAGAGGGUGAUCGGCCACAUUGGGACUGAGACACGGCCCAAACUCCUACGGGAGGCAGCAGUAGGGAGUCUUCGGCAAUGGACGAAAGUCUGACCGAGCAACGCCGCGUGAGUGAAGAAGGUUUUCGGAUCGUAAAACUCUGUUGGUAGAGAAGAACGUUGGUGAGAGUGGAAAGCUCAUCAAGUGACGGUAACUACCCAGAAAGGGACGGCUAACUACGUG
rnacentral:rRNA from 1 species